AAGUGUCUUGUUUUCAAUGUUGCAGGUCUCAUUUAAUUUGAGUUGAACCGUUUGGUUAUGUUGGCUGUGUGAUUUCCUUACAUGUUUGUGCUAACUGAAUAAUUUGAAACUAUAGGUGUGUGUCACUUAUUAGAAGCUUCUCCAUGAGAAAGAAGAUGUAAGAACAUGAUGGAGUUUGUAAUUUGUAGUUUAUAUUUUGGAGAUUUAUAAUUUCUUGUUUUUCUUGUCCUAUGUAUCUAUCUAGUUUAUUAGGGUUCUU